rnacentral:ncRNA from 1 species
UUAAAGGCUGUGAAGGCACACAGUAGCUAUAUGGAAUUCUUUCAGAGAGAGCGGAUCACCGGCUGUAAGUCCGCUUAAGUUCAGCCACAUAGUGAAAUUCAUGCCGGAGCUGCAUCUUUGAAAUUGCAGUAGGAGAUGACGUAUAUGCACGUUACGCAGACAGAGUGCCGGUCAUUAUGACCGGAAACAGGGUGGUACCGCGAGUAACCUCGUCCCUUUU